rnacentral:snoRNA from 1 species
GCCUCCCAGAUUUCUUUAGCCCUGGACCUGCACAUUGGUCCGAGUGGCUUAAAAGAGAUGAAAAGUAAAACUGAAGUGGACUUGGAUUCUUUAGCAAAACACAAAUUCAUUUCAAACAUGA